rnacentral:misc_RNA from 1 species
AUUGCAUGUAAAUAUCGUCUGCAUCAUCCAUUCCAUAGCUGACAGUUCCAUCUCCGAUCCCUUUCUCCCCCCUCUCAAGCUCUUCCAGUAAUCUGAAAUUCCUAGGCACAACAACUCUUGAUCCUUCAGAGCCCAUUGAUUAGUGAAUGUUGAAUUAGCGAACAGAAGAUUGGGGUUUUUUCUUCAGAUGAAGAGAGAGACGAACCAAGAAAAAGCAGCAAGUAAUUGUAAAAACUAAAGAGAGUAUGGAGCCCAAUUACUACUUCGCAGUAGUUC